AGGUAGGGUGGCCGAGUAGGCGGCGAGCUGUAACCUCGUACACGGGCCAGAGUGUCCCCCUGUCAA
rnacentral:tRNA from 1 species